UACGUAGGUGGCAAGCGUUUGUCCGGAUUUAUUGGGUUUAAAGGGUGCGUAGGCGGUCUAUUAAGUCAGUGGUGAAAUACUCCGGCUUAACUGGAGGGGUGCCAUUGAUACUGAUGGACUUGAGUGAAGUCGAGGUAGGCGGAAUUGACGGUGUAGCGGUGAAAUGCUUAGAUAUCGUCAAGAACACCAAUAGUGAAGACAGCUUACUAGGCUUAUACUGACGCUGAGGCACGAAAGUGUGGGGAUCAAACAGG
rnacentral:rRNA from 1 species